CCUGUGGAUGCUUAAACAAGCCAUAAAUGUGGGUUACAACUGGAAGGAUAGAAGCUGAUUCCGGCUGGGAGCGGUGGCUCACGCCUGUAAUCUCAGCACUUUGGGAGGCCGAGGCGGGUGGAUCACAAGGCAAACACUUAUCUGAUCUUCAAAACCCUGAGGUCCUGUUCUCAAUGUUGAGCUCCACUCCUCAGGCUUGAAGACCAAAGUUAUGCUUUGCAAGUUGGCAUUGUCUAACUAAGGUGGGCAGUGUGCAAGGAAAUGACCAGUCUGCCAUUGCUCAGAUUUCUGCAUUGACUUUUAGUGUCUUUCUUGCGGAGUCAAGGCCUCCCCUGCUUCUUCCUUCGAACCGAGAUCUCAAGGAUUACUGCAGACCGGGAAUUACAAAUGGAUACCUGGAGGUGGUAGGGGGUAAGCUAAAUCAGUAAGGAAGGCUGGGUAACUUCCAAACAGGACAUUUAGUUGCAUAUUUAAAAAGAAAGACUUUUGUGUGUGUAGAAAUGAAGAAUGUUGUUAGGUGCUUUUUUUUGUUUUGUUUUUGUUUUGAGAC
rnacentral:lncRNA from 1 species